rnacentral:rRNA from 1 species
CACUCUGUGCAAUGUAGCACACGGCUCGUGCAUCGAUGAAGCCCGCGGCAAAAAGCGAUAUGUAAUGGGAUUCGUUGCCCUCGAGAUUCAUCAAAUUGGUGAACACAGUCUGGACCUCGCAAGAGGUACUUACGUUAGACUGCUAGUUUUAUAUCAGUUGAUACUAGGGAAAGGUG